GACGAACGCUGGCGGCGUGCCUAAUACAUGCAAGUUGAGCGAUGAAGAUUGGUGCUUGCACCAAUUUGAAGAGCAGCGAACGGGUGAGUAACGCGUGGGGAAUCUGCCUUUGAGCGGGGGACAACAUUUGGAAACGAAUGCUAAUACCGCAUAAUAACUUUAAACAUAAGUUUUAAGUUUGAAAGAUGCAAUUGCAUCACUCAAAGAUGAUCCCGCGUUGUAUUAGCUAGUUGGUGAGGUAAAGGCUCACCAAGGCGAUGAUACAUAGCCGACCUGAGAGGGUGGGCGGCCACAUUGGGACGGAGACAGGACCAAACUUCCAAGGGGGGGCGGCAGUAGGGACUCUUGGGCAAUGGAGGAAAGUCUGACCGAGAAACGCGGAGGGAGUAAGGAGGGUUUCCGGAUGGUAAAACUGUGUUGGAGGAGAAGAACGUGGGGGAGGGUGGAAAGCACAUAAAGGGACGGAAACUACCAAAAAAGGAACGGCAAACUACGGG
rnacentral:rRNA from 1 species